CAUUUUUCACACCGCCAUCCCCAAAACCAAGAUUUCCUGUGUAGAUCAUGCCUUCUUGAUUCAUAAACCUCUUAAUCGAUUAAAGGUUGGAUACCACGUGUUGCUCCAUUUGAUGAUGUUAUAACCCGAGAUAUAAAUGUUUCUUUUCUUGUGUAAACCCUAGCAUCGCCUUCUGCUUCAAGCAUUUUCCCUCAAUCGAUUGUGUCUCCCAAACCCUAACCAUUCAAAUCCACUGUUUCAUCUCUGCAUCUUCCGUCGUUUUAUCUCUUUCUACUUGAAAGAACCCUAGAUAUGUUUACUCUACGAUUGAGAAAGAAACCUGAUUCUAUUCUAUUUGUUUUACUAUUUGUUUCAUUUAUCUGAAAAGAUUUUGCUUCAAAUCUUGGAAUCUUCAACUUUGGGAAUCUAAAUCAACUAUUGGCCAGACCCAGUUCACCAAGAAGUAUUUUGAUGAUACGUUUGAGCACAGCCAUGUUGUUCUUCCUCAUCAAGUUGUGAAGGAAUUUCUAAAGAAUCGGCUUCUGUCCCAGGUCAAAGAAACUCGAUUUUUGUUAUGGGUAUACAAGGAAUUGAAAUAAGAAAAUUUUAAAGCAGUUCGACUCUCAGGGUUGAAGGGUGGCAGUUCAUUACCUGCAACCUUCCAUGCAGCCAUGAUGGUAUCCUUCUUCUCUAGACUCUGAGCCUGUGGAUGAUCAUGAUGUGGUGAGUGUUAUGGGUUGUUGGGCAAUAUGCAAGAGUAGAAUUCAAUUGGUGUUAUCUGGGAAGAGAGUGAUAGUGGACAACAUUUUUGGUGAAAUUCAAUUUCUAAGAUGUAUAAACACUCUGACGUGUAGAUGGGAUAGGGAAGUGUAACUAUGGGGCUGCUACGGGGCAUGAAGAUGGGCAUUAUAUGGAUGCGGAUAACUUGCUGAGCUUAAUGAUUUCGAUCAGUAAUGCGCAGUUCAGCGGGUCAACUGAUACAUGGGUGUGGGUGGAGGAUGCUGCAGGUGAGUUUCGGUGGCUUUGGUCAAGCGUGCUAUUUAUAAGGCCCGUAAUGUCAAUCCGAUAAAGACGUUGGAUUGGAAUUGUUCGGCGCCCAUCAAGUUAAGUCUGUUCGGCUGGAGACUAAGUUUGCGCAGGCUUCCUACGACGGAUGAACUCAUUAAAAGAAGAAUUUGCUGGGGUCCGAAUGGAUGCUGUUUGUGCCAAUCUGCAGAGGAAUCGAUAUAUCAUAUUGAUUAUAUAUAGUAAUUUAUUUGUAUCACACAUUUUUUUCUAUUCUUGAAGUAAUUUGUAAUUUGUUUUAAUUGAUUUGAGUGCACACAGUUGUCUGCUGGUGCAUUGAACCAAUUCCUGCAGUUCUUCACGUCUAGAAAAAGAAAGAUAUGAAUAGCAUCCGCAGACACAAGGGGAAGAUGGUGAUUUUGAACAACAUGGCCCUUGAUAUCAGUGGCAAUGGCUAAAGGAGAACAUUUUAACCAACAAUGGCAUUUUACACAACAUCGAUUCUCAUAGUUUGAAUCCCAUUUCGGAAUAUGGAAAUGUCGAAUCUGCUCAUGGGAUAAUCAGCGUAGAACAUGUCUCACUCAUGAUAAUCAGCAUCCUAGGUGGCACUCGCGUAUGCUGGCGAAUGCGAAAACCGCAAAGGUAUCUAGACCGUGUGGUUUAUGAUGAAAAUGUGAAAGUUGCUCAUCAUGUUGUUACAGGACCAACAUCAUUUGCUCAUGUCAUUGAACUUGCAAUAUGCAUCGUUAAGUAAAUUGGGGGCAAGUAUCAUGUGUUUUUAAUUAUCACGACACGAGUCCGAGACACUUCUAUGCUUAUAGAAUGCUCCAAAACAAAUUUGCAUCGGUUCCCGGUUGAUGUUGUAGUGAUGAAGUAUGCUACAAGAAUGGAGGGCCGCUUUCAACUCAUCUAACGUUAAAUUGUGCCCGUUUGUUAUAAAGCACAACCCAUUUCAUUCAUUAAUAUAACUUUGCAUUUUUUAUUUAUACACUUUAGAUUUAUAUAAUUUAAAAUGAUUUCAAAGGUAUGGCUUAUCAGAUGAAA